GCCUUCCUCUCCCUUUUUCACCGUACGUGUGUGCACGCUCGCUCGUCCGGCUCGUCCUGCAUACUCCGUCUGAAACUAGUCGCCGAUCGAAUCACUUGUUCCCAGGAUAAACUUUCAUGAUUGAGAGGCGUGAGACAAUCGACGAUGGAAACUUUUCGAUGCUUUAAUUACAUAUUUCUGGAGCAAAUAUGCUGUAUUGAGGUAAACGCAAAAUUUUGCAUCAUUAUGUAUGAUGCAAUCUUUCGAUAUGUGUAGCGAGAACUUUAGCGGAUACAAAUUUAUAUACUCUCAGAUCGUGUUACAUCUUACGUGGCACGGUUUUGAAUAAAUUCUAACGAUUUUUA